rnacentral:lncRNA from 1 species
AAAAAAAAAAAAGUAACCCAUGAUAAAAACCCGUAUUUGUGUCUGUGCUAUGUAGCUUACAACCCUUUUUAUUGCAACCCCAUUUAGGUAAAUGAGAGAACUGGGACACCCAUCAAUGCCACGGUUGUGAUGCUUGGUGCCACUGCAAUUGUUGCAUUCUUCACGAGCCUUGAUGUUCUUGCUAACCUUCUUUCAAUCUCCACUCUCUUCUUGUUCAGUCUUGUGGCACUGGCCUUGUUGGUUCGCCGCUACUGUGCAAGAGGGGUGGCUACACAAGCCAACAUAGUGAAGUUCGUUCUCUGCAUUGCUCUCAUAUUGGGUUCUUCUGUUGCCUCAGCUGUUUAUUGGGCCAACACCACAAAAUGGGUUGGUUACACAAUCAUGGUGCCGCUUUGGCUCCUGGGAACAGUGGGGAUUUGGCUUUUGGUGCCAAUGACGAAGAAGCCAAAAGUUUGGGGUGUGCCACUGGUGCCAUUCUUGCCAUCAGCUUCCAUUGGCAUCAAUGUUUUCCUUCUGGGGUCGUUGGACAAGGCUUCGUUUAGAAGAUUUGGAUUCUGGACUGCGAUUUUGCUGGUGUAUUACCUCUUUGUGGGAUUGCAUGCCUCUUAUGACAUGGCACAGAUACUGAAGAAGGAGAGAGUGGAGAGCAUGAGUGAGUCAAAGUUGGAUGAAGAAAAUGUUGUUCCAUCUCUCACAGAGUCUGCUACAAAAAAUGAAGAUCAUAAUAAUAUAAACAAUUGAUGUGGUUCAUGUUUAUCUUCCACUCUGUAUGUAUGUGAUUAUUGUUCGUGUGGAAAUAAGGUUUGUUUUCUAUGUGAAACCAUCGUUUUCCAGAGGCAGAAUUUAUGUUCAAUUUGGAUGGAUCAACAUGAUGAAGAGUCCAAUCUUUCUGUCAAGAAUUCCUAAACACAGGUUCAAAAAAAGUGAACAUUGCUAAUAGUACAGGCUUAGAUGUUCUUCAUAUUGGUCAUGAAUGGUCGCAUAAUUUACUUCACGUUCCAUCUGUAACAAAGAAUUUUGCUCAGUAUGUUAAAAUUUCCUUUUUCUUAAGGAUAAUGAUGUUUAUUUUGAAUGUAUCAUAUUGUAAUGUGAAAACUCAGGGUAACCAAUGAUUUUGAAUUAUGAAUUCCUUAACGAGUAGAGUUUGAAAUAAUCUACAAAAUUUUGUAUCUAAAGUUGAUACCAUGUUGAGAUCAAGCUUUUUUCAAUUCGCCUGAUUCUGCAGUAAAAUGAAAAGAAGUGGUCGAUAUUUAGUUCUUUCUUUGCAGGCAAGAAAAAAUGUAAAUAGUUUUUUUUGGAUUCUAUAUCUAUGGACCCAAUACAUCAAUAUCUCUUACUCAAAUGUAACGAAAUAGACGUAUAUAUUAAGUAUUAUAAUAGUUUUUCCUAUAAGAGAAUUAAGAACUGCAGAUUUAAUGGGUUUGACAUCUUAAAUAUGUUUCAAUCUUUAAAUAAUAAUUCUACCUCCAAUGAAAAAUUUGCAGACAAGUCUUUUUCUUCUUGAAAAUUGGAUGGGCAUUCAUGACUAAAGACUUGUGGAUGUCUCAUACAUUUUUCCUUCUCCUAUUAUGUUGCAUGGGAACAUAUACCAAUGUUUCAAUAAUGAACAACAAGUUUUGGUAUCAAUAUUAUUAUUAAAAUAUUGCCAUUAAACAUGUUUCAUAACUUGCAAUUUGAUAUCAAUAUUAUCAUUACACGUGAAACUUGUAAUUUGAUAUAUUUUUCUCAGUUGAUUAAAUAUCUAAAUUGUGUAGCCACAUUAACUAACAACCUUUGUGUGAUAUUGGAUUGUAUUUCAAGGACGAUGAUUGGAACCCUAUUGGCUUCGUUUGAUGGCAUCAAAAGCUUGUAUAUGUCGGUUUUGAUGUUUUGUAUAAGGGUUGGGACACCCUUGAAGUGUCUUUUUUUAUUUUAUUUAUUCUUUGCCGAUAAAAAAAGCUUGCAUAUGUCAUGCAACACAUGAUAAAUUUUAUCAAAUAGUCAAGGUGCAACUCUAUGUAAUUAAGAGUGUACCAACUCAAACGUUAUGAUUAAUUGUGAUUUGUUCCAUCUGAUUGAUCUCCUUCUAUAGAAGAUAAUUGAUGUCAUCUAUAAUAAAAAGGUCGAUCAAAAUGAAAAUAACAUUAUUCUUGCAAUUGUUAAGUAAUGUUCGAGUUCUAAUCUUGAAAACUUUGAACACUAUUUGUAUUCAUGUUAGGAAUGACACAUAUUUUAUACAUACAUUUAUAAAUUUAUUGUACACCGGAAAGCACUUUAUGUUUUAUUUUCAGUUUUUUAACUCAUUUUUUUUAGUAGUAAUAAAUUGGGUUCAUAUUUACUUUAAUUUUUAUUUCUUCAGUUAAUAUAACAUUUGUUUAUUGCUUUGACCAUAAAUUUUUUCUAAAAAUUAUUUUUGGCUUAUUUCAAUUGUACUGGAUUCCACAUUUAGGGCUUAAAAAAGGACAUGUGGUUUGUUGCAUUGAAGUUCUAUGCUAUUUUCUACAAUUUUUAGAAGUUAAUGCAAAAUUGCUGAACUUUUGUAAGAAACUCAUAUGAAUUUGUUUUUAUUUAAAAUUUUGUAAUUGAGCUUAUGGACCUAAUUAGAACCCACAUUUAGGCUCAUGUUUACUUCAUGCUUUAGAUUAUAUAGCCUAAAUGUGCUUUAAACAUGUAGAAAAAAAAUAGUAUAUUUACUUUUCAAUUUCAGAAAUUGUUUCUUCAUCUAAUUUUCUCUCGUUUUCUUUUAAUUUUUUAAAUUGACUCUUCCUCUCAUUUGAAAUUGAAAUUUGCAGUGGAACUCAAGUCCUUUCGGUGAUCAUAGAAACAUUAUUAACCACUAGACCAUACAAAUUAUCAUUUUUAUUAUACUUAUUAUUAUUAAUAUAAUUGACAAUCCAAGUCCCUUAUUAUUAUAAUUUAUCAAUUCUUUUUCUCUUUAUCUUGCUUUAUCUCAUCUAUUUCUUUUAGUUUUGUCCUUUAUAAGUUUUUAUCCUCCGACUUCUUAGGUGUGUAAUGUAUUACUAUUUUUUACUUGAUACUUAGAUUCAAGACAUAGAUUCUUGAAAGUUGACUCUUUAUUUAAAAGUUUAAGUAAAUUGAGGGCAUGCUUUAUGAGUUUGGCUUCGAUAUAUCCUAUGAGUUUACUAAGUGUGAGUCACAUAAAGUCCCUUUAAUAAAAAACAAAUGAAGUCUAUUAUUUACUAGAUGUAUAAGAAGCACAAAGCAUGGAUAAAUGUUUUGUGACAAAGCUAAAGACUAAAUACUAGAUGCUUAAGAAAAAGUGAAAAACACAUGAAAAAGUAUUAAAUGACCUUAAGAACAAAUGAUGAAUCCAAUGCAACAUUGGAUGACUAGAAGAUCUUAUACGUUUAAAUAAUAGCCUCGUAAUUUUAAAAUAAAUCUUGACACACACAUAAUAUAUCGUUUGAACGAUGUAUGCUCAUUUCAGUAUAGUCAGAUAAUAUAAUUAUUUGGAUAAAAUGUGUCUUUUUUUCUUAACAAAAAUAUAAAAGUUAAAUAUUUAUAAUAAAAACCUAUAAUAAAAAAACACACAUAAAUACACAACGAAUCUUUUUAUAAUAUCUAUAAAUAAAAAUUUAUAACAAAUCUUUUCGUACUACAAGUUUAUCAUAAAAUAGAAAAGAAAACAAAAGUACAAAUGCUUAAAAGAGAGGUGUACUGGUAUGGCCGACCGACAUGAUGACGUGGUUCGGUCUCCCUGACCGAGUUGACCGAGACACACGCUGACGUGGCUCGGUCUCUUUGACCGAGCUGGCUGAGAUACCACGCACAACCAGGCCAACCGACACAUAUAACCAUUAAUACUUAAACCAAGGUCAGUGAAGUUAAACUACCAUUAAGAAUUAGGUAAUGUAACCAUAAGUGUGAUCCAUUUCACUAAUAGGCCUAAUGAGAUAAGUCCAUUAAAAUAAUAUAAAUAACACACAUUUCAAGGAAUAAGGUACGUCAUUUAUUACUGUGCACCUACCUGAGUGUCGAUCACCCGUUUUACUAACUUGAGCCUUCUGCAGGUACCUCCCCCAUUUGGCAUUCACCUGAGACCGAGAGCCGAAGGAGAAAAGGAUCCCAACAAAGCCCUAGCAACCUGCCCAACCGAAGGAAGAAGACAAAGACUUCAAUAGUUCUCUAGGUCUCAUCUCCCUAGCAGGAACAAGAGGUGUAUAUAUAAUUUAUCUAUAUAAUAUAGAAUAACCUUUUUGAAGUUAAUGCUCUUAGUGUUAGAUUCAUAUGAUUUUUUUAACAUAUAGUAAAUAUAGUUUUUAUACUAAUUUUUAAUGGACAUAAUUUUUUUAUAUAUUAUCUAAAUUUGUGUUGGUUCUACUGGCUAAAGUGUAACUGUCAGAAUAAAAAAUCCUUUCAGAACUAACAUAUAUUAUUACAAGAAAAUUAUUAAAUAAAAACUAAUUUUAGAUACAAAAAAUAAUUAGUUGUUACAGUGACUAAAUUAGAUGUCAUUUUAUAAACUAAAAAAAUUAUUGGUUUCUAAAUUAGUUUAUAUUAUUGAUAAAUAGUUUCUAAAUUGAUAUUUAAUUAGCUACCAAAGUUUUUGCUACUAAAUUUAGAAUCUAAAUAAUAAAAUAUUGGUAGCUAAUUAGAUACCAAUUUAAAAACUAUUUAUCAAUAUAAGAAAUUAAUUUAGAAAUUAAUAAUUUUUUUUAGUUUCUAAAAUGGUCUCUAAUUUAGUCAUUAUAGCAACUAAUUAUUUUUUUUUCUAAAAUUGAUUUUUAUUUGAUGAUUUUCUUGUAGUUUGUAGUGUAUCUUAUUAAAUAUAUUUAUUUUAUGUAGUAUAUAUCCUUAUUAAAUAUACUUAUUUUAUAUUUGCUAAAGAUUUUAUGUACGUAUACUAAUUUUUGUGUACCAAAUAAACUGUGACAACACAGGUUCCUAGUCAAAAUUUGAUAAUGUGAUGCUUAUAGGCGUAAUUUAUAGGUUGUUUAAAUGCAGAGCCAAAUUGCUCUUAGACUUAUCGAAGAACCAAACCAAGUACUAUAAUUUAAUAUGCAAUAUUCCAUUAUUUAAUGAAUUUCCAUUUGAAAUCAUUAGAGUGGUCAAUUUAAUGUUUUAGAAUUUUGAUAAUUCCUACAAUACUCAUUAAUGAAACACCAUUAAAUUAGUGCAUGAUAUGUUUAUGGUAUUAAAAAAUCAACAACCCAACAAAUUAAGCAGGUGAGGUGUGAAAAUAGGUUCUUGUUGGUGUCUAUAUCUAGAAGAACUUGUAGAUAAGUAUAUAUUUUUAUUUUUGUCUUUCAAAUAUUAUAAUUAUAUUAUUAUUUUAAUCUCUUAUGUGGUAGUAAUUGUGGUCUCUCUUAUUCUAAUUUGGUCAAUUAUUGUAUCAAAUAUGGUGGUUGUACUAAUUUAGUUCCUCAAUUAAUUGAAAUUUAUUGAUGUCACCUACACCCACUUGAUAAAGACUGAAAUUGCACCUUUGUAUAUUCAGGAAUAAAAUAUCUAAUUGAAUAAUGCUUGAAAAAACCUAAUUGGUACAUCCAAAACCUACAAAAAUAAAACGACAUAUUUAUAAUUCUUGAAAUUUUUUUUUGCAUAAUUUGAAUAUAUAGAAUAUCAAAAUUGUAUAAUAUUGUUUUUGUAUUAAAAACAAAAGAGUAAAAAACUAUUAAAAAAAUUAAUUUUAUAGAAAAAAAAUAAUUAGUCACUGAACUAAAUUAAAUAUUAUUUUAUAAACUAAAAAAAUAUUAAUUUCUAAAAUAGUUUCUAUUAUUAAUAAAAUUCAUAAAUUGGUAUUUAAUUAGGUAUUAAAAUUUUAGUUACCAACUUUAAAAUUUAAAUUAAUUAGUAAUUAAAACUUUGAUAGAUAAUUAUAUACUAAUUUAUAAAUAUUUAUAAUAUAAACUACUUUAUAUAUCAAUAUUUUUUUUUAAUUUUUAAAAUAGUAUUUAAUUUAAUAAUUAAUUGUUUUUGUGUUUCUAAAAUAUUUUUUAUUUAAAGAUUUUUUUGUAGUUAAAGCAACACUUAAAUAUUUUUGUUUUCUUUUUCUAAACCCCAUUAUGAUAAAAUUGUGGCAGAAAAUAAAACUAUACCAGAAAGUGAAGGUGGGUUGGGUAUGCUAAAUUGCUUUUUAGAGCGUGUUUGGCUUUACACUUUGUAGACUAAGUGUGCUGCACUUUUGAAUAAAUUAAUAACAAAUUGUUCGUUUCAUUCCAAACACAUACUUGCUCUUUGCCCUCAUUUGUUCCUGCAUGUUGUGGAGAAGAGGGGAGGGGGGUUUGGUCAUUUUGGAAGGUUCCAAUGAUAGAUACUAAAAAAAUUCAUUCAUAUAAAUCAAUUUUAGAGACAAAAAAAUAAUUAGUUAUUAUAUUGAUAAAAUUAGAUACUAUUGUAGAGAUUAAAAAAUUAUUGGUAUCUAAAUUAGUUUCUAUUAUUGAUAAAUAAUUUUUAAAUUGGUAUCGACUUAUGUAGGAACUAAUUGAAGGAAAUAAGAAAAGACAAAAGUUCUAUAAACUAAUUGAAUGUAAUUGCACAAAAUUGUAAUACUGAUCUGAUUCAUUUUGAUUUACUCAAUCAUAUAUAUAAUAAAAUUACAAUUACCGAAAGCUAUAAAAUAAGAAUACUAACAUGUCUGGAAACUAACCAUUAAUGCAAUAUAACGGUAAAAUAGUUGAAGGAUAAUAAAAUCAGAAUUAAUAAUAAUAAAAUCUGAAUAACCAACAACUUAGAUACCAACUUUAGAAUUUAAAUAAUUGAUAGUUAAAACUUAGGUAGGUAAUUAGAUACCAAAUUAACUAUUUAUCAAUAAUAAAAACUAAUUUAGAUACCAAUAAAUUUUUUAAGUUUAUAAAAUAAUAUCUAAUUUAAUUAUUAUAAAAAUUAAUAAUUUUUUAUUUUUAAUAUUAGUUUUUAUCUAAUGAUUUUUUUUAGUAGUAUUAGUUUCAUGCAGAGUCAACCAAAGAAGAAAGCAAAAGUGUAACUUUUCAAACAUGAAGUGAAAAAUUCACACCCUUUGCCUAAUAUAAUGUUUGAAAAUGAAGCACUUCUAAUUUGAUGAGCCACCCAUCAAUUUUGACUUCACAUUUGGACUUUAGUGUCUUAUCAAACUUUAAAUCCUUUUUAUACAUAUAAUAUUUCUUCCUAAUCUCACUUUUUCUUUCACUUUGAAAAUAUGUCACACUUUGUUCUUGAAUUCCAUGUUUACUUUGUUUGAACUUUGGAUGCACAUUUCUGAAUUUUGUGAAGAAAGAUUGAUUUGAACCUAAAUCACUUUUCAACUACUCACAAAACCCUUUGGUGGUGAAAUUUAGAGUGUUUCAAAGAUACCUGCAAGAAAAAGGUCAACCAAUUUCACUGCACAUGCCACAAGUGUAUAGCUUCAAGAUAUGUUUGGAUAUAUAAUAAAAGUUAUAUCAAUGAAAAUGGAAUGUGUGUGUGGGUGUGUUUGGUUUAGGUUUUCAAAAAAUCCACACGUUUCAUGAAAUUAGGUCAAAUCUUGUUUUGCAUAAGUGACAAAUUUUAGCUCCUACUUUGAAGUUGAUUGUAAAAACAUAAUAAAAUACUAAAAAAAUUAUUAAAUAAAAAUUAAUUUUCAAGACAAAAAUAAUUAGUUGUUAUAUUAACUAAAUUAAAGAUAUUUUAAAAAUUAUAAAAAAUAGUUUUUAAAUUAAUUUUUAUUAUUAUUAAAUAGUUUUUGAAUUUGUAUCUAAUUAGCUACCAAAGUUUUUGUUACCAAAUUUAUAAUAUAAAUAGGUGGUAGUUAAAACCUUGGUAGCUAAAGAAAUAUCAAUUUAGAAACUCUUUAACAAUCAUAUAAACUAAUUUAGAAACAAAAUUUUUUUUAGUCUCUAAAAUUGUAUCUAAUUUAAUUAAUAUAGCAAUUAAUUAUUUUUUAUCUCUAAAAUUAUUUUUUAUUUGAUAAUUUUCUUUGUAGUUUUAUUCAAUUGAGACAUGUUAAUGGAGAGAGACAAAUUUGAUAAAUAUUCCUUGAUAAACAGUUUUUUAUUUUUAAUUUAUCUUCAAAUUUAUUUCUCAAAAAUAUAAUGCAUUGAGAGGGUAGAGUUAUUUUAGUAAAAUUAUUCUUAACAGGCAUGAAAAAAAAAUCAUGAAUUAUAGUUAUUAUGGGAAAGAAUGACUUAUGUACCUAGCAAUUUAAAUUUGUUUAUUUGAUUACGUUUUAUAUUUUUAUAAACAAAUAUUUCACUAUAUAUUUAUUUUCUUUUACAGUGUUCCCUGUAUUUCAUUUGAAUAAAAUUUGAUCUUUCUGCGUUGGUGUUAGAAAAUUUGUUUUGUUCCUCCGUGAUUGGUGUUUGUGUUUGAAGAGAUAAGAUGAAAUUAGGGUUGUUGAAACUUGCAACUCUUGUAUUUUUCUCUUCCAAAUCCCAAUUUCUCUGCUUAAUUUAGUGUUUUCCGUUUGCAACCAAUCAUAGAAUGAACUAUGCAAUUAAAAGAGAACUAAGAAAGAAAAUAUUACAAAAUACAGUAAAUAAUGUGAUGAUAAAAAGAGAUUAUCACAUAUAAAAUGCUUUUCCAUCUGAAUCAAACUCUCCAUCUGAAUGAACUAUAGGGAAUAUAGUAUUUAUAUUUAUUACGUUAUCAGGAAUAUGUGUAUAGAAAAAACGUUACACUUUCCUUAAGUGGAAUUGUUCAUCGCUUGCGUUGCGCAGUACUGGGCUAAGAUCAAAACUCAUUGUGUUUUUGGGCCUAUUAGGACGGUUCGCAGCCCAUGCUAAACUCUUACGCUAUCUCUUUUCCUAGAUGGUCCCUCAAUGAACUCGGUCAAAUGUACAAUAAUCAUAAAAUAAAAUUAGUUUAUAUAUAAAUUUUAAUUUAUAGAAGUUAUAUAAGAAAAUUUUACUAAUUAAACUUUCAGUGACUUUGGAAAUAUAUAACACAAGCAUUUCUUUUUUCUGAACAGAAAUAUUAUUUAGGUUUUUUUGCUACAUUACAAGAUGAGAAAUUUGUAUAAUAAGACUAGUAAUGAAGGAGGUUAAUCUUUUAACUGGUAGAACCUAAUGAUUAUUAUGUUAGUGUUUUGUUCUUUAGUGUAAAGCUAGGAUCCUACUAUACUUUGUAAAUGAUUGAGAAAUUUUAAAAACUAAAAAUAAUAAAAAUAAAUAGUUGUUAUAUUAAUAAAAUUAGAUACUAUUUUAAAAAUUAAAAAAAUUAUUAGUAUCUAAAUUAGUAUUAUUAAUUAAUAAUUUUUAAAUUAAUAUUUAAUUAAAUACUAAUAUUUUAGAUAUAAAUUUUAGAAUCUGAAUAAUUAGUAGCUAAAAUUAAGUAGCUAAUUAAGUACUAAUUUAAAAAUUAUUUAUCAAUAAACUAAUUUAAAUACUAAUAAUAUUUUAGUUUAUAAAAUAGUAUCUAAUUUAGUUUUUAUAUAAAUUAAUAAUAUUUUUGUUUUUAAAAUUAAUUUUUAUUUAAUGAUUUUGUAGUAUUGUGUCUCAUGAAUAAUAUAUAUUGUUUAUUGAUAAUUUUUUUAAAAAUAUUUAAUAUGAAAGAUGUAGAUAAUUGAGUGUAAAAUUACAGUGUAACAACCAUAUAUUAUUAUUAAUUUAUGGAUUAUGAUAAGAUUUUCAAAGAGUGCCUUAUUUUAUUGACCAAACAUGGCAUAAAUCCACAACCACCCACAAACACAACCACCACCUCCCACAUCUGUGACUCUUCUUCCACUACCCCCAUUGUUAUCAUCUUCACCACCAUCAACCUCAUUUCAUAACAUUCCAAUGGGGAAUGCCUUGGGUGGAAAGAAGACCACCAAGGUCAUGAAGAUCGACGGCCAAACCUUCAAGUUCAAGACUCCGAUCAGAGUCGCCGACGUCCUCAAGGACCACCCGGGGCUGGUGCUGCUGGAAUCCGAGGCGGUCAAGCACUACGGCGUGAGGGCCAAGCCGCUGGAGGUCCACAGGGAGUUGGCGCCCAAGAGGCUCUACUUUCUGGUGGAGCUGCCGCGCGAGGCGACGGUGGCGCCGCGGAGGGUGCGGUCGGUGAUCAACAUGAGCGCCAAGGACAGGCUGGAGAGCCUGGUGCUGGCGCGGAGGUCUGCGUCCGACCUCACCAUCAUGAAGGGCCAGGGGAUGGAAGGGGCGGAGAAGGGCGGAGUGCGGCUGAGGAUGAGGGUGGCGAAGGCGGAGGUGGAGAGGGUGAUGCGCGGCUGCGAAACGGAGGCCGAGGCGGCGGAGAAGAUCGUUGGACUCUGCAUGGCCAAAACCGGCGGGGCUUCAAAACCACGUCAGGUAUCUUCAUGCAAGUAAAAUGUAAUUUUUAUUUUUUUUAACUUAAUAUCAACGAAAUUCAAAUAAUAAUAAUAAUUUAUUAUUAUAUAAAAAAUAUAAGGAUUAAAUCAAAACCAAAUAUUAUACCACCAAUUUAUUCAUUCUGAUAAAAAAAUUACCACCAAACUAUUUGGAUUUUUAAUGAUAGACUUUACCAUGCAAGAAUAUAUUUUUAAAUGCAUUAAUUCUUGAUUCUCUUUUAUACUGCAUAUUUUCUGUAAACUUUUAUUUGUGUAUUAUUAAUUAAUAUUAAUAUUAAUAUAAGCCUUGUGGAAAAAAAAUAACCCCUUAAAAUAUGUGUAGCAUCAUUACCACUGCUUAAUCAUUCAAUUCUAUCUGUAUUCUUGAACAAAUUAAUUUUUUAAUGAACUUAAAUUGGUUUUUUUUUUAUCAUAACCCAAUUUUGUAUUUGAUUUCUGAUUAAAGAAAUUGAUAAAUUUUUAUUUUGUUUUUCUCAUUAAAGCAUGCUCAAAUUUCCCUCAUUUUUAAUGGUUAAAAUUUUGUCUGAACAAAAUAUAUAUAAGCACUUUUUAUAUUAUUUAAAUUUAUAUGAUAUACAUAAGUAUUUAUUAGGAUAAUGUGUUUACGAACUGUUUUCAAUAAUUUUUUUACUAGAUAACUUAUAAUUUACAUCGAAAGAAUACAAAAAAGUUUUAGAGAAAUAAAUUUUUGCAUUUAUUUUAGAAAAUGGAGUUGAAUAACAGAAUUCGACCUAAUGACGUUUUAGUCAAUAGUUGUAGUAGAAUUGAUUAUGUGAACAAGUUGACGUAGCUAUAUUAUUAUAAACGGAAAAUUUGUUGUUUUUAUUUGUUUUAUAAAUCAUUAUUGGUGGUCAAAUGGUCAAUGAUUUAUAGAAAAUUUGUAAAAGGGACAAACUAUAAGACGUUUUGUUAAUCAUUUAUGUAUGUUUUGCACAAAACAAAAUUUAUUAAUAUUUAAUCAUUUUUAAUUAUUUUAAACAGUAGUGUUUUUAUAUUCGAAUUUGACCAUGAAUUGAUGCAGUAGUUAGAUGUAUUAAAGUGAUACAAGUUGUAUAUGGUAAUGACUAUAGUACUUACUUACAAAGUAUUGACCACAUUUUCUUAUCAAUUUCUCACACCACCAUUCAUUUUAUAAACAUACAAUGCUUAACAUUAUAUACGACUUUUGAACAUUUUUAGCUAUUCAAAUAAUAUUUUCAUUAAUAUUUUUUUAGUAUUAAAUUUUUUCAUCCAUCUCCCCCUCAUGUCUAACGUUAUUUUAUUAUCAAUAGUUAAAUUUAUAAUAAUAAAAAAUUAUGAAAUAGAAACCAAUUUUAAAAAAAUAAAUUAAAAAUAAAAGAUCAUAUAAUUUGAAAAAUCUAAAUAUCCAUUAUAUUAUCAAUUGUUGAAUUUACACUAAAAAUUUAGACAUAAAAGAUCAUAUAACAUGAAAAAUCUAAAUAUCUAAUAGUGACGCGAUAAAUUUAAAUUUUGAUCAUGUAUAUUUUUAGAAACUUUAAUAUAAUAUUAAAAUAAUAAAAUUUAAUCUUAAUUCAAUAUUAUAAAAUUAAUUUAUUAAAGUGAAGUUUAUAUUAAAAUUAUUAAUAAACAAAAAAUAAUAAUUAAUUAUUAUAUUAAUUAAAUAUAUACUAUUUUAGAGACUAAAAAAUUUAUUAGUAUUUAAAUUAGAACCUAAAUAAUUGGUAGAUAAAACAUUGAAAACUAAUUAGAUAUAAAUUUAGAAACUAUUUAUCAAUAAUAAAAAUUAAUUUAGAUAUCAAUAAUUGUUUAAAUAAUUUUUUUUAGUAUUAUCCUUAUUACAUUAUAAGAAAAUAAACUAUUUUAGAUAUAGUAAUUUUUUAAUCUUUUAAAUAAUAUUUAAUUGGGAGAUUCUUAAAACUUUUUUAAACUAUUUGAUAAAUUUCAAUCUUCACCUCCUAUAUGUGUAAUAUAUUGAAUUUACAUCAUAAAUCAAAGAGCAAUGACAUAGAUACUAAACAAACAUUGAACAAUUGUAAGAGAAGAGAAGAACCAUAUUCCUUUGCAUUCGCAUUCAUAUAGUUGACGACAAGCAAAACAGAAUGGAUAAGGAAAGAACAGCAUUUGAGGCAUAGAAAAACUCAUAUCAAAAUGGUUAAGUGCCAUGUCCUUUUCAAGUUGUUGGGUCUGCACAAAAUAAAGAUUCUUCCACACAUAUUAUACAUAAUCUUUGCUUUAAUAAACACAAACUUGCAUGGUGAUCAUCAUUGUUUAUGCAUUCAUCAUUGGUUGCCAAAAUCAAACUAUUCUCUACACCUUUCUAUUCUAUGCAUUCAUCAAUAUGUUUAAUGUCCUCUAAAUAAUGCAAAGAGGUUUUUUUAAAAAGUUACACUCCAUAUUACGAUCAUGCGACUUACAAGUAGUAAAUAUAGAGUCAAAUAAUUUGUAUUACAGAUGAUGUUUAAUGUUUGAAUUAUGAAGAAGAUGAUUUUCUUGUUCUUUCAUUGAGUCUUUCUCUGUUGUGUCAAUCAAAAGGAUCUAAUUUUGAUUGACUUUAUUUUUACCUUAUAUGUUUGUUGUUACCAUUACAAGAAAAUCAUUAAAUAGAAAUUUAUUUUAGAGACAAAAAAUAAUUAGAUGUUAUAGUGACUAAAUUAGAGAUCAUUUUAAAGACAACAAAUUAUUGAUUUCUAAACUAGUUUCUAAAUUGGUAUCUAAUUAGUUAAUAGAAACUAAUUUAGAAACCAAUAAUUUUUUUAGUCUUUAAAAUGGACUCUAAUUUAGUCACUAUAGCAACUAAUUAUUUUUGUCUCUAAAAUUGAUUUCUAUUUAAUGAUUUUCUUGUAGUGUAGACAAAUAAAAUGUGUGAAAGAAGUUGAUAGGUUUAUGAUUAUUUUGGAUGGACAAUUCUAUAGUCACAUUUUUAUACAGAUGACUAUUUGUAGAUAAAUUAGGGUAUCUUGAAUACCCUUUUAUUUAUUUAUAUAUUUUUUUUACUAAUAUUUUUUAUUUUUAAUAUCAACAUGAUUAGAAGAGUUUGUACCCAUAAAUUAAUGGGUUUGGAUUAUGAAUUGUUGCAGAAAAGGGUGAGUUUUAUGCCAAUAAGUGAAGGAGGGAGUUCCAUAGCAGUGGCUUCUUGACCAGUAAUUUUACAAGAACUAGCCUUCAAAUUUAUCUCACCAGAUGAAUGAAUGAGCUUCAUGGUGCUUUAUUAGUUAAAUAUAAUUAAUUAAGAGUGAUGUUUUUUUACAUUUUCUUGCUAUAUAUUUUUAUCACAAACUGUUGCAAUAAUUAUAUAUGGGUGUUUUCUUAUAUUAGUUUCAUUGAACAGUAAAUUAAAAUGCUGUUCAUACCUUUCUAGUUGUGAAUAUAUAUGUGCUUUCAAUAACAUUUCUUCUUAAAUUAUUGUGUGUAUUGUUCAAGUGUAUAAAGAAAGAGACAUCAUCAAUAACUCUAACUUUUUAUGUUAUAUAUAUGUGAAAAUUAAAUUAUUCUAAUAUUUGAUCAUGUUAUUAUAAAUUUAAUAGAAUUAAUUUUUAUUACAAAGUGGACUUUAAGCUAAGACUCUAAUCUCUAGUGUGUGACUAUAUAUUUUGGAUGGUCCGAUAACGGCCCGAUAGCGGGUGGCACGAUAGGCCCAACACAAACACUCGCUAGGAUAGACUCGAAAUGACUCUGAUACCAUAUUACGAAGUGGACUUUAAGCCUAACUCAACCCCAUAAAACCGGCUCAAUGGGGUGAGGUUUGCACCCACUUAUAUACAAUAAAAGGCUCUAAUCUCUAGUCGAUGUAGGAUCUCCAACAGUUUUGAAGAUAGAAAAAAAAUUAUGUAAUAAUUUUUGUACAAAUUUUUUAUAUUUUCCUUCAAUUAAUUACUGUUUACUACGAGAAAUAUAAAAGAAGAAUAAAUAUAUCAUGUAAGAAUUUGUUUAAGAGAUAAACCAUUAAAAAUUCUUGUUGUAUAUUUCAAGUAAAUGAACUAGAGCACUCCAAAUAUUUAUUUAUAUAGGUUUAUAAUAAUUUUUACUAAUAAAAAAUAAAGUUAAAACAACUAUUAUAACUUUUUUUUUAAAUGAUAAAUGAAACUUUAUGCAUUAAUCGGAACAUAUAAAAAUACACAUUAACUUUAACUGUAAGAAUACAUAUUAGUCAAACAACAAUAAAAUGUCAUUUUUUUUUCACGUGCUCACAAACUAUAUAUUAAUUCCAAUUUGAAUAAGAAUAAUUAAUUUUUUUUAAAUGAUUUUAAUAUAAUAUAUUAUAAGAUUAUGAUAUUAAAACCGUGUAUUGUAGGAGUGUUGACUUAGUUUUUCUUGGUUGUUUUUGUUCUUUUAACUUUGACUGAUACAAAUAUUUAUUAAAAGUGUAUUUAAAAUAUUGUUAAUACAGACAAACUUUAAAUCAUUUUUUUAUUUACUUUAAAAUUUUCAAGUUAAAUAUACGUUAAUAUUUGUUUUUAAAAUUCCCAAUACCAAAUCUAUUUAAUACUGGGAAAUAUUAAUUUGACUUGAUAAUAAAAAUACAAAAAAGUUCACCUAACUAUUAUCAUAUAUGAAUUAAUAUCAACUUGUCACAUUUAAAAAAAUUAUACUUUAUCUAUAUAACCAAGCACAAGAAAUUUACAAAAUCCUUAAUCCACUCAUCCAAAUUAAAAACAUAGCUUAUUAUUUGUCAUGCUAUUGCUUAUAAAUACAUGCUAAACCUAAAGCCUAAUACUCAAAACACUUAAAAUUUUUAAUUACAUAGUUCAUGUCAUUCAUAAUAUUUAUUUCUUCUUUUAUUAUAACAACUAUAGUUGAAGUAUUUUCAAAGUAUUCCAUAAAACUAAUCUUCCUUUGCAAUUUAAUUACAUUUAGAAAAUUUUCACUUUUCUUUCACUUCUCUCACAAACUCAAUAUAACUUAUUAAGUGAAGCAAUAGAUUAGAUUGCAAAACUUUUUUAACUGUAAUUAUUGUAUUUACUCAUUUUACUUUGUUUGUGUUAAAAAUUCAAAACAGAAUCGAAAUCCUACACUAAAUAAAGAUGGACAAAAUAAAUGAUAUAUAAGAAAAUAUACACAAACCUUUUAUCUUAAGUUUAAGGUUAUAAAUAAUAUAAUAAUCUCUUAUAUGGUUAAUUUAUGAUCCAUUAAUACUGAUUUUCUCUCUAGUGUCUCUUUCUAAAAAAUUCAAUAAAAUUUGAGUUUGCAUUUACUUAUAUACUAUGAAAUGUCCUUAUCUCUAAAAGAGUUGGAAUCUCCAACACACACCACGCCGAGAAUCUCCAACUCGUGUGUAAGACUAUAUAUUUAUGGAUGAUCUGAUAGUCACUCGCUAGCGGAUGACGAUCAACAAACUCUCGCUAGAAUAAAUUCUAAAUGACUCUGAUACCAUAUUAAGAAGUUCAACUCAACCUUACACAAACGACUUAUAAAAUAGGGUUUGUAUCUACUUCUAUAUUAUAAAAUGUUUUUAUCUCUAAUUGAUGUGAGAUCUCCAACAAUAUAUACUAGGUAUAUGAUCUUUUAUUCGAGUAGAUAAUAUUUAUUGAAAAUACAAGUACAAUGAUGCUUUGUCAUUUCUAAUAUAUUUAGAUUUAAGUAUAAGGCAUAGGAAUGACAUGGUUGGAGAUUUCAGGUCAUGAUACGAUUUGAUCAUGCAGUAAAUACGAAAAUUACUCUAUUUUUCUGUAUUAGUCUUCUGAAACAUGUUUCUAUGGUAUAAGCUAAGCUAUCUUCAAUUAACACAAAUGUUUUCAGGACAAAAACCACUGAUAUGUUGUUUAUUUGAGAAGCAAUUAAAAAGUCAGAAAAUAGGUAAGAAAAACUGAUAAAGUAGAUAGAUGCAGCAGAGUGAGAAACAGCUAAAAGAAAGCAUACAUGUAUUAAGAGAUAGAUAACAUAUAAUCAAGCUCGUCCAGUGCGCCUUCCAACUUUGAGUGCUAAUUCGGUAUCUAUUUUGAGAGAGAUGUCUAGUGCUUUCACUGAAUGAGUCAACGAACCACUGCCACAAAACAUGUCAUCAAGCAUGGUAAUAUUGUUCAAGAUUGUAAUUUAUAAAAACAGGAUAUUUUUUGAGGCAUUGGAUAAGAUUCACUACAAAAAAAUUAUGAAAUAGAAACCAAAAUAAUUAGUUGCAAUAGUAACUAAAUUAGAGACCAUUUUAGAAACUAAACAAAAUUUUGGUAUCUAAUUAGCAAACAAGGUUUUAGAGACCAAAUUUAGAAACUAAAUAAUUGGUAAUUAAGACAUUGGUUGCUAAUUAGAUACCAAUUUAGAAACUACUUAACAAUAAUAGAAACUAAUUUAGAAACCAAUUUUUUUGUUUAGUUUCUAAAAUGGUCUCUAAUUUAGUUACUAUUGCAACUAAUUAUUUUGGUCUCUAAAAAUUAGUUUCUAUUUCAUGAUUUUCUUGUAGUAAUUGCUGAAGAGUUGAACACCAUGUAUUAUUUAUAUGGAAAAUGAUGUUUUGACCACUCAGGAAGUUGUAUACAACUCUCGAUGGGAUGAGUUUAGAAAUAAAUAUAUAUAAUAAAGGAUAAAUUUAUAAUUAAAUGAUAUGAAAAAAUAUUAAAAUAAUAGUAUUGAGAGUUUGAAUGUGGUUGUAUAAAAAUUGUGAGUUGUCAAUGUAUUAUUACCUUAUUUAUAUUAAGCUUAGAUAUCAUGAUCUUCAAGUAUAAAUUUUUUUCAGUCUGGAUAAAUGGGUCAAUCUUGUUUUGAUCUAAGGCUAACCUGCUUACUAGAAAAUAAUAGUUCAGAUGUGAAGUAAAAAAACUCAUUAACAGAAUCAAUUAAUUUAGAUUGGUUUAGACAGUCUUGUUCAUCAGAUCAACUUGUGAACAUUUCAAUCUGAAACAUCACUACUUGAUUGAGACACAACUUCCAAAAACAGAAUACAUCUAAAUGAGGUAAAUGGGUUAUAAUACCAGAUACUAUGAAAUGAUGUGGAACUACCAAACUUAGAAGUUUACCUAGAAAUGUAGGUCACUCCACUUUGCCCGAUUCUAUGUACAGUGUCUAGUGUGACAUUUCCUGAUGCCUGACAUCACAAAAAUGAAACUAGAAAUUAGCAACUAAAGUUAUCCUCGUUCAAAUUUAUGGUAUCCACAAAAUACCUGAGAUUCUGAAAUUAUUAAGUAGCCCAAAUUAAUAACGAUCCCAAUAAUGCAAGAAAAGCUAAUUGGUCCAAGUAAAAAUGGAGUAUGACUUAGCAGGCACAACAUCUUUUCACUGUGUGAAUCCAUAAAAAAAUUGCCUCAAAGUGUAAACACAUAAUUUUGUAUUUACAUAUCACUUAGCAUAUUUCGAUAUACCUCUUUAAAUUAUUAGACAAUUGAGUAAACAUGCUUGUUUAUAAAGAAAUUGACAGAAGCAAAAAGAAAAUGGUAGUAAUAAAAAAGUAUAUAAAAUCAGUAUCAAAAUAUUGUGCAUCGUUAAUUGUAAGAAAUAACCCAAAAUAUACUACUGUAAAGAUUAACUGAGAACAUUUAGUCGUGAAUACCUCAGUCUCAUAUCUCCCAUUGAUCAACUGCACAGCUUCUUUAAGCAUAGAUAUGUCCACAUCCCCAUUGGGUAGAGGUACAACCAUAUUGUCCAACAUUAUUCGAGUCAAAGAAGUCUUUGUUUGGGAUGAAUAAUGUAACACUUCUUCCACUUCCUCAAGAGUCCUGGUCUCAACCUGGAAAAAACACAAAAACCUUGAAACACAAAUGGGAAACCACCGAAGUUACUUCAUCUGUUACAACCUUCACAUUGAUUUCGACAUCUCUUUUUUUUUCUUUCACAAACCCUCAAAGUGUUAACAAUGGAAGAGAUUAUCAGAGUAAAUGCAGAAUAAAUUUGGAUAAGAGAAGGUAUGGUAUAUUAUCAUAAGAGAAUGUUUAACAAUCAAACAAAUUCACUCUAUACAAAAUGAACCCCGAGAAUUGUUUUUGUAGGCUACAAAAAGUGCUCACACUUACUCAACAUGUACCAAAUUAUUCAUCGUCUCAUGUUUUCAGAACCAAUUUAUUUUAAUUUAAAAAAGCAAUAAAUGAUAAUAAGGAACCCAUCAGAAGGUAACCCAUCAAAUAGAAACUUCUUAAAUUCUAAUAAAUCCCCAUGUAUUUCCUUUUAUCCGUGUUUUUUUGUUUUCAGUGUAAUAAAGAGGGAUUUUUCCUUUCGUAAUGAAUUAUCUCCAUUAUUACUUAUCAGUAAUGUAUGUUCCCAUCAUCUUGUUUCUGCAUCAACAAAUAAUUUGUUACAGAAAUAGUUAUUAAUUUGUCCUAUAGCACAUCACAACAACUGCUAAUAAGUCAGUUGGAACCUGGCAGGCAAAACAAUUUUCAAGAACUUUCUAAGUUGAGAUAAGAACAAUAGACUCAGAAAUGGAAAAGGAAAAGAAAUGAGUAAAACAAUGAAGAGAACACUACCUCAACCUCCAUUUGAAGACUAUUUUGCUCCAGAUACAGGUCAACGGCUUUAAGGGCACCUGUAACACCUCCAGCUGCUGAUAUAUGAUUAUCCUUUAUCAUCACCAUAUCAAACAAACCCAUCCUAUGAUUCCGACCUCCACCUAUUAAUACCUAUAAAAGCAAAUGUUUCUAGCUUACUGAGUAAACUUCAUGCUUAAAAGUAUAAAUUAUUAAUAAUAAUUGUAAGGAAGUGAUCCAAAGUCCAGACCGCCCACUUAUCCACUAAACGUAAAGCUGGAGCAGUUUUUCUAGUCUCCAGCAUAUAUGCAGGGUAUGCUGCAUUUGCCAUUGCCUGUGGAAAAACACAAAAUCUGUAAUGUAUUACUGGGCCAGUAAGAUGUAACAUAUUAACAUAUUUUAUAUUCAAUAUGAAUUCAUAAGUCAACUUAUUUUCCAUAGUUGUGACAAUAAUGUUUUCAAUACAUUUACAAAAAAACAGCCAUAUUAUCAACAAUAUGUGGAAUUGUUAGCCUUCAUUCAGACAAUAUGAGUAACUAGAUACAGAAUAUAGGGUGCAAAGGCAAACAUGGCAAGGAGCGUGGAAGAAAGGAAUGAGGCUGGGACAAGAGGAUAAAAGGAAAGUAUGGGAGUGGAGAGUGCAUACAAAAAAUUGUGCAAAGGGAUGUGUUGAGUGUGAUUGACCAUUUGUAAGGCUGGAAUUCCCUCAGGGAGUCUCUUUUCUUAAGGAUGGAAUUACAAGCCAUCCAACAUUCCCUUCUGAUGUUAAGAGAACUCCAAAUCGGUGAUAGGAAGGCUUCAACUACACUAAGAAUUCUAGGCUAAACUAGAGAAACAUAAAUGAAUUAAAAGAGGUGGCUUUAUUUCUUCUUACCUAGAGUCCAAUGAGGUUUGCUAGGUGACUUUGCCUUCACAAUGUAAGAAUGCCCAAUAAUUUUAGUAUUUCCCUUGUCUUUGUAAAUGAGGCCUUUGUAAAGAACAUUCUUAAUAUACUUUAGGACCCGUACAACUGCAUCUACAUCCCAAUGAUCUUGACAAGGAGAGUUUAAAAACUGAUUAACUACAUUCACUGCAAAUGCAAUGUUAGGACAAGUCGUAAUAAGGUAAUUCAGCUCACCAACUAACCAUUUGUAUCCCCCAGGGUCAAAAUAUGGUUUUCCUUGGUCCAAUACAAGUUUGACACUCGAAUCCAUUGGUGUCAAACAUCCUUGUUUCUUCUAGAAUGUCCAAAGCAUAAUUUCUAUAAGAUAUGACCAAGUCAUCCUUGGACUGUGCAACUUCUAUAUUAAGGAAAUACCUCAAUGUCCAAGGUCUUUUGUCUAGAAUUGUUGAUCCAGAAAUUGUUUUAGUUGGACAAUACCCUCCUUAUCACUACCUGUAACAACAAUGUUGUCCACACAUACAAUGAGAUAGAUACCCUUGGUGAGAAUAAUGGUAAAAUAGAGAAUGAUCAAUAUUAUUUGUAUCAUUCUAAACUACUGAAUGAAAAUUUGAAACUGCCAAAACAACGCAAGAGGUGAUUGUUUGAGGCUACACAGACACUGAACAACAAAUCAAGGAGAUUGCUCCGUGAAGACUUCCUCAUCAAGAUCACAUUAUAGAAAUGCAUUCUUGAUGUCACUAAAACAAAGUCCAAUGACAAGUAAUUGUAAUUGACAAGAGAAGAAAAAUAGAUGUAAUUUUAGCAAUAGGAGAGAAAAUGUCAAUAUAAUCUUGUUCAUAUAUUUGUGUGUAUCCUUUGGCAAUCAAAUGAACUUUAUAGCAAUCAAUUUCACCAUCGGAACCUAUUUUAAGAGCAUAUAACUACCGACACCCAACAACUUAUUUGUCAGCUAGAAGAGGAACUAACUCCCAAGUACCACUAUUUUGGAGGGAACACAUCUCAUUAAUCAUUAUUUGUCACCAUUUUAACAGGUUUUUCGUGAAUAGGGAGUGAGACACUGGGAUUGAAUGGCAUGCAGUCCCACCUCCAUCUCUCAAAGCCUUGCCACAUGCUGAAACCAAGACAACCAUUGUGCCCACAAUAGCCGUUUUCAUGGAAAGCAACAGAGUCACAAUCACGGAUCCAAGGAUUUAAACAAUGCAAUAGCUCCAUAGUGCCACUAUAGUGGUUAUGUAAUAGGUUUGAAAUAAUAUAUUAAUAAAAAAUAUAUAUUUGCAAUACCAUUCAAGAUAACUAUGCUCCCAAAACAGCUAAUCAAAUUUUCUGAGUAAUUAUUCCUAUGCGUUUAUGUUCCCAGAAUGGGUAGGACUCAUCUCCAACAAGUGAAAGGCUUGUUUCAUCUCAUAAGGUUCUGGACUAUUAGUUUUAAUUAAGCUACAAUCAACCAAGUGCCACACUAUACAUGCAGCAUUGUGCAAGAACCUAUUCCAUUGAACACUAGCAGUAGCAGUGGCAUGGUAUUAACAAAUAUGCUCUAAACAGAAUAGCGACAAACCCAAGUAAAUCAUCUUCAGAAAUAUAUCCAAUUCAGCCAUUUUGUAAUUAAGAUGCAAUAUUAUCUACACUUCCAAUGAUUGAUAUCAAAUAUUUUCAUUUCAAUAGCCUACAGACCUUUAACAGAAUAUAGUGUUAGCUAACUAAGUUCAAUAUUUAUCUUAAUCAGUUAGGUAGUAGCAAGCACAAUACAGAAUAGUUAACAAAAGAAAAAGGAUAAAGUAAACAACAGAUUACCUUAGUUAGAGUUGCAAUACCACUCAUCCUCUGCAUAAAGUUUAGUACUACUCUUUCAGCUACAACAAUGUUGUGUGCCCGUCCUGUCCACAACAUACUGAGAAUCAAUAGAAGCCGUUCAUGAAUUAAUUAGAAAUGAAUAAUGUUUUUUAUUCCACUUGCUUUUGCAAUUUUGAUUUCCUAAUAAUUAUCUCACCGUGAACUUUUCCAAACUGUAGCCCUUUAUGGACAAAAUCUCCAUCAUUUCUACACCACUCCACCUGAUAUUUGCAAGUAAUCCUCAAUGAUUCAGCCAAGAACCAACCAUGCAUAUAAUGACUGACGUUCUGUGUAAUGCUUCCAUACCUUCAAAGAAGGGUCAACCUCAUGAAAUAUCAUCUCUGCAAGUGCUAUUCCAGCAAUGAUGCCAUCCUCCUUUGCCAAAAAAUAAGCUUCCACUUCCAUGUCAAAUGGAAUGGUAGCCUUGCAUGUUACAUCACCUACAAUUGAAACAAUACAGAAACCAUGAGUGCAUUAUAUCUACCAAAUAAAAGUUUGCAUAUCAGUAUCAUUUAUUUGCACAAGCCCAACAGCAUGGAAGAAUUUACAUUUGCUUAUAAUAAUCAGUGAACAUUAACAAUUCAACUGGUGAUUUAUAGAUUUAAAACUCAGUAAGAAACAUGGCACCUAGUGAAAGAAAAGAAACAUGAACAGGAAUAAACCUCGAUCCCCAGCAUCUUCUGCAAGUGCUAACUUGAUAAUGCCCUUCAAAUCGUAAGUUGGGUGCUCAGGAGGCUUUAUGGCAAAGGACUCGUAUGAUAUCCUAGAGCUUGUGACUUCAGUUGCAGACAUUUUAACAACCGUCCUGUAAUUGUACAUGAUUUAAAACAAAUUGAUCAGAAAAUACAUAAUGUGUAUAAAGUGGCACAUGAAAAUACUACCAUCCACGAUGAUCAACAAACACACUCUUUAGUGAGUUUUCAUGAAUUUAAGAACUGUUUGGUUUAGAUAAAUAGUUUCAUUAAUGUCUUAUUGAACAAGUACUUCUUAUCUAACCACUUAGGUAUAAGUUGUUUUUAUCAUCAAACGGGGAAUAGGGCUAAACUAUGUUUAUAUUAGUUGUAAGCUGUUUUCAUAAGCUAACAAUUGGGGUUAAGGGCUUAUUAAAAUAAGUUGAAAACAACUUAUUAACAUAUCAUAAGUUAUCCCACACUUACAUAAGUACUUGUGUCAAGUCAAAAUAAGUCCUUAUAAGUUGUAAAUAAGCUGUUUCAAAUGGAGCCUUAAUCAAUUACAUAUGAAACUGAUUAUUUAAUUCCAAUUGUCAGAACUUAUGCUCAAACAGAGCCAAUUAAGCCAUACUAACCAUGCGUAUGUUGCCAUUCACAAACUAAAAAUAGAAGCAAAGUCAAGCAUGAACCAUAUAUAUCACCAAAUAACACGAGCAAGAUAAUCGUUUGACUUUAAUUUGAAAAGUGUCAUUGUUAUCCUUACUUUUUGGAAUUCUCGAGCAAUCAUAAACCCACAAACACUUAUAAUCACAAACAAAUCAAGUCUGAGCAAUGUGAAAAAAAACUAUCUAUAUGAUCAACGUGAUGAAUACAUCCUCCAAGAUAUAAGAGACUCACCCAAAAAAUGGUCGGGGCAACAAAACUAGUCAAGCCCUUUAGUGAGAAUGAAUAACCCAGAAACUCAGAGAAAAGGGAGAAAAAAUUAUACCAGAGAUAGCUCUUAAAAACACAAGCAACAGAUAUUUAUAAUGAAAAACAUAGAUUCUAAAACCACCAAAGACGAGUCAAGAACAACAAGUAAACUAAAAUAUCUACGUUUUUUAGGAUAAAAUCUAAAUAAAAUUACAAAGAAUUUUUAAAUAUAAUCAAAUAGACAUAUCAACAUUUUGAAAUAUCAACAACAUACCCAACACUUCUCUCUAUAUACCCUAUUCCAGAAUUAUAACCACUAUCACAAGUGCCUUUUCACAAAGGACAAACAAUAUUCAAUAAUAAAGAGGGUAUGGCUGUUUGAAAAAAAAUAGGAAAAAAAUUAAAAUUAGCUUAAUUUAUAAAAGUUCUUACCUCUAGUUUCUAUAAAAUUUACUUUUAAUUUAUUCAUAAGCUAUUUUCAGUCAAAGGAGAAUUUUAUUUUUCUUAUUUAUUCUAGGAAAAGUCCUUAUGUAUAUUUCCAAAAAAAAAAAAGCACUUUACCUGAGUUUUGAAUUUGAUUGCGGUGGAAGUUUAAGUGGGAGGCUGCAACAAAUAACCAAAAUACGUAAAAAAUGUGAGAAUUUCUUACAAAAAUUCGGAAGCAAUGAAAUGAAACGGCGGCGUUUUGUUGCGGGACAAGGAAGAAGAAGAAAGACCUUAGUGCAGGUGCAAACGCUGCGGUGUGAAACGCGAUUUGUAGUGGAAACCCUUGAACGCCGCAGCUUACAGCCAUGUGAAAACGCGAUUCGAGGGUAUUUUUCUCUCUUCAACUUCAAUUACUCAUCAUGAAUUGCGAAAAUUGAGUAGUGUUUGUUGCACCAUUAUACACAAAAGUGUGUGCAUUUUAGCAUCAACUUUUCUAUUGGGACCUCUUUUCCACAAAGACCAUGAAAGCAAGUUGAAAUUUUAUUCCGAUUCUGAAAUGGAAAAGAUCAUUCUUUGCGUGACUAAGCUACUCUUCUGUGAAGGGGUUUAUGCAUACUCUGUUCUGGGAUGCUGGCGAUUUUUUUUUUCUUUUACUUUGCUGAUAAAAAAAUAAAAUAAAUUUUAUGAUAUUAUAUUAAUAAUAAAAUAUAAAUAAUUGGUAGGUAAAUUCUUAAUAGUUAAAUAGAUAUUAAUAUAAAAAUUAUUUAUUAAUAAUAAAAAUUAAUAACUUUUUUAAUAUUUAAAAUAAUAUUUAAUUUAAUUGAUAUAUUAAUUAAUUUUAUUUUUUAAAAAAUUGUUUUUAUUUAAUAAUUCUAUUAAAUAAGGUAUUUAUUUUUUCAUCUUUUUGUCGAACUUUUUUUUCCUUUUGUUCUAUUAAUAUUUGAGUUUGAGCAUUUUUUUUUUUUUUGUGGGUCUUGUUUUUAAAUGUUUUCCUUCAUUUUAGCAUGAUGGGAAAGAAAGCUUGAGUGUGUGAGAGAGGUAUUAAUUACAUAAGAGAGCGGUAAGAAAAUAGAGCUAUAUGCUUUAACAUAUUAUUCCAAAACUAAGAAAGUUUUACAUUGUUUAAGUCUUUAUAAACACAUUCUCCUUUUAUUUCAUAGAAAAUAAAUCAAAAUAAAAUUAUUAGACCGAGUGUGAAAAUAAUUUGAAUGUAUUGAUUUCAUUCUAACUAUUAUCUUUCAAAACAGCUAUAUCAUGAGAAGAAGAAGAAAAAUCUAUAAUGUAUAAGUACGAAGAUAUGAAGUGUGUGCAAAAUUAUUAAUAAUAAAUUCAUUUAGAAUUAGGGUUUUAUUGGUUGUACAUUUUUGUUUAACACAAACAAAAUUUGUGUUAGCAUGUGUAAAGGUUCAUAUAUCUCUUUAUAAAGAAUCUCAAUGUAAUGAAUUUUUUAUCAAAUUAAUGUACAAGAGUGAUUAAGAAAUGAACUUUAAGUAUAACUCAAUUUCAUAAAAUCAAUUUAUGAGAUAAAAUUUGUAUCCACUUAUAACGAAUGAAAUGUUUUAAUCUUUAAUUGAUGUGAGAUCUCUAACAUCUCCUCACUCCAAGAGUGACAGCUCGUACGUGAGACAAUAUAUUAUUGGUGGUCUGAUAACGACUCACGAAUGACACAAUAAACCCAACAAACUCUUGUUAUGAUAGAUUUUAAAUGACUCUAAUACCAUAACUUUGAACAUAUUAUUUAGAUAGGAAUAGGAAUGAAAAAAUACUGGAGGACUAUUAUAGUUUUAGAUAUAUAGAGAAAUUAUAUAUGGGAAGAAAAUAAGUUAGAAUCAAUUAGUUGUUAUUUAUUAGUACACUAAAAUUUAAGCACUUUGAUUAAUAUAAUUUUACAUAGGAUAAUAAGAACUAGUAUUUUUAACCGUGAAACGUGCGUGAUUUAUUUUUAAAAUAUAAUAUUUUUAUAAUAUAAAUUUAAUUUGAUAAAAAAAUAUUUUAAAAAUUAAAUAAAUUAUUUUCACCUCGUCAUAAAAAUAAAUAUUCUUAUAAGAACUAAAAUGUCCUUGUAAGAUCAAUAAUAUUUUAUCAACAUUAAUCAAAAAUUUAUCUAUCAAUAUUACUUUAUAGUGUUGAUGUCAGUUAUUUUUUUAUUAUUAAAAUUAAUGAGACUAAUUUUCAGAAGUAUAGUAAAAAAUAUUUAGUUAGCUAUAUAGAUCAAAACUAUUUUUCAGUAAAUAUUUAUUAAAAUUUUCUUAAUCAAUAUUAAUAAAAUUAUUUUUCGGUCGAUGUCAAUCCGAUUUUUUUAGUAAAGAUUUGUAUUAGUUAUUUUUUUUCAUGUAUAUUGCUUUGAAGCAGUAAUUUUUGUAUCUGAUUUUUUUAUACUUGUUAGUCAUUAAAAUACUCUAUUUAAAUAAAAAUAAAUAAAAAAUAAUUAAAUUUAAAUUUCAAUAUCUAAACAAAAAAAUUAAAAGUUAAAUAAAUUUAAUUCAAAUUCAAUAUGUUUAGGCCAAUAUUUUCAUUAUAAUUUUAAUCAUUUAUCAUCUUAUCAAAUUUCUUUACUUGUAUAGGUUUAUUUCCUUAUAAAAGUCAUUUGAGUGUCGUAGAAGAACACAUCAAAUUGUUGGGUCAGUGAGCUAUAAUAGUACUCUCUGAAAUUUUUUUUUUUUUUCUGGUUGAAUAAUUGAUGCAUAUAGCUAUUAUUAUUUAUUAUUUCCCCCUAUUGUGCUACAUCUAUCAAUAAAUCUUCAGCUCAAAAUAUGAAAAAAAAAAACUAAAAUUCAUAUCUCAUGAUACAAGAAAAACGUUUUGUAAUCAAUAAAUAGUAUGAAAGAAAAAAAAAUUAUCACCAAAAAAAUAAAUAAAAUAAAAUAAAAUGAGACAUUUUAGAAAUGUUGUAACCCUUAUAGAGACACUUCAGGAGUGUCCAAACACUUAUACAGAAAGUAGUCAUCAAGAUCAAUCUGUCUCAUACCUAAUCUCCAAACAUACUUCAGACCUUGCAAACCACCAAACCAAUCCUCAAAUGAAAGACAUGAUAACCCACAUUAACCGAAAUCAUCAUCUACUUUAUCCAGAUCCUUAUAACCAGUCUUUAGUCAAAACAAUACCCACAAAUCAUUCCCUAAUACAACCAAAUCCAAAAACCUAUGUAAGCAAAAAAACCUAUGUAAGCAAAUAUUUGGUCCAAGAACAGUUCUCACAUUUUGAGGCCAGUUUUCUGUAUAUGUUUCAAUCAACCAUUUUGACCUUUUAUAAUCAGUUUUAUUAGUCGUUUUCAAUGCCAAAAUGUUGAGCAAUCAAAAGUAAAAAUAUCAAGAAAUAUUAAUAAUAUAUCUCCACCAUAAUUUCAUGGUUAUUUUAUUUAUCAAUUUCUUAAGGUAAGACAAUAAUGGUUAAUAAAAUUAUUGCUCUGUAUAAGAUGCACGCAAUCUGCAUAAUUCAUUUUAGUCAAACAAACAUUCUAUUUAAGCAAAGUGUUUUCCUUCUUAGGAUUUAGGUUAUAAUUUGAGUUAUUGUUUUUGUUUUAAACCCUAAAUUUUAAAUCCUAAAUUUAGAACGUGUAGAAAGAUGAGUCUAAGUGGGAAAGUAGAAGGUGAAGUAGAGAUUCAAGCAUCUGCAGAUAAGUUUUUCCACAUCUUUCGAAAGAAACUUCACCAUGUUCCUAAUAUCUCCUCUGAAAGGAUACAUGCAGCUAAAGUUCAUGAAGGUGACUGGGAAAAUGUUGGUUCUGUAAAACAUUGGGAUAUUACCAUAGGUAAGGUUCUUGUUACGUUUCAACUUCUGUUUAAAAAUUCAAUUAACUAAAGUCAAUACUACAAGAAAAUUAGUAAAUAGCAACUAAAGUUAGAAACAAAAAAUAAUUAGUCACUAUAUUAACUAGAUUAAAUAUUAUUUUAGAGACUAAAAAGUUACUAGUAUCUAAAGUAAUUUUUAUUAUUAGUAAAGAUUUAUAAAUUGAUAUCUAAAUAAGUCACCAAAAUUUUAGCUACUAAUAUUUUAGAUUAUAAAUUAGUCUCUAAAAGAUGAAUAUAGACUAAUUUAUAAUACAAAGAAGUAAGUAGCUAAAAUUUAGUAGUUAAUGAUUAGAUAUUAAUUUAAAAACUAUUUUAUAAAUUUUAUUAAUACUAGAAACUAUUUUAAAUAACAAUAUUUUUAUUUAAUGAUUUUCUUGUACUACAUACAAAUUAUUUUAAAUUUAUUUUAAGGAGUUGAUUCUAUAUUUAAAUAUUUUAAAAUCAAUCCAAUUAAUAACUUGAUAUUUAUGACAUACUUGUAUGGAUUUUUAAAAAUCUAAAAUUUGUGUUCACACUAAGAUUUUGACAUAGAAAUCUUUCUAUUGGUUUUUAUGAGUUUUUUUUUUCAUUGAAAUAACUUAUAGUGUGUUCGAACAGGAAAUUUUGAAAGGAUAAUUCAUUUAUGUUGUUUUUUGUAAUCGUAUUGCUUAAAAUUAGAUAAUUUUAAAUUCUACUUAGAAAGUUAGAAUUUGAAAUUUUUUAUAAUCUCAAAUUCCUGUUUUGAUCUUGGUAGUACUUUGUUUGAUUUUGGUUAAGGUGUGUACAUCACUAUUAUUUUGGUUAAGAUAUCUAAUCAUUAGUUACAAAGGUUUUAGUUACUUACUACUUUAUAUUUUAAAUUAGUCUCUAUUAGUCUUUUAGAGACCAAUUUAAAAUUUAAAUAUUAGUUGUUAAAACUUAGGUAACUAAUUUAGAUACAAAUUUAGAAACCAUUUUAUAAAUUUUUAUUAAUAAUAGAAAUCACUUUAGAUAUGAAUAAUUUUUUAUUUUCUAAAUUAAUAUCUGAUUUAGUUAAUACGGUGACUAAUUAUUUUUUGUCUCUAAAUUUAAUUACUAUUUAAUGAUUUUAUCAUUAGUCAAGUUAAUUAAUUAAUUAAUUGAAACACUCAUCUUUUGCUGCAAUGGCUUUUACAUACAUGUGUAUAACUUCAUUUGCAUUUUUUGUGAUAAAAAAAAAAAUUUAUGGAACGAUGUAGAAGGGAAGAAGACAAGUGUGAAGGAGAAAAUUGAAGCUAUAGACGAUGAUAACAGGAUCCUAACAUACAGCCUCUUUGAUGGGGAAAUCAGUGAGAGUUACAAGAGUUUUAAGGGCACACUGCAAGUAAUUGACAAGGAGAAUAAUGGGGGAAUUGUGAAAUGGACCUUUGAAUAUGAAAAACUCUCAGAGAAUAUCACUGCUGCAUCUCCUGAAUCAUACUUGGAGUUUGCUUCUGUGGUCACCAAAGAUAUUGAUGAUCAUCUUCUCAAGGAAUAACACCAGAAAGAAGAAGGCACAUGUGGUGAUGAAGUGGCUUUGGCUUGCUAGUUUUAAUGCUUAUUAAGUAUUAAUAAGUUGGGUAUGUGAUAAUGCUAUAUAUGCUUCUCAUUGUGGAUGCUUGCACUAUUUUAUGCAUGUCAACUUAAUGAUUGUAUGCAUAGUUCAUUUGUGGUACUUUUAGGGUUUGGUUGUUGUUCUUGUAAAAUAUAUGUUUUAAAUAUAAAUAUGAGAAUAAUUGAGUGAAGAUAUUGAAUAUUGUAUUUUUAUUAUUUCAAAGGUCAACUUUUCCUUUACUUUCUUUCCAAAAAAAAUUAUUGGUCAAGAUCUGUCCACAAAUAUACGAAACAAGUAUUGAUUCUUCAUAACAAAUCCUUUUAAUGUCAAGUUGGCAUCUUAUAUCUUAAGUUACAUUUGGAUUUUGGAUUUAUAAAUGUCAGAGAUGUUCAAGAAAUGAAUCAAACUUAAGUUUGGAUUCUAGGAAAAAUUUGCAUCAUAUAAUCUUAAAAAAAAAAACAAAGUAUUUGAAGGCACUAGAAAGAAGAGAGUUUAAGGACAUAAAGAGAUUUUAUUUUGCAUGAUAACAUGAUCAAAUGUACAACACAAAAAAAUUCCAAGAACCAACAUUAUAACUCAAUAUAAGAGCAAAAUGAAAAAUUCACCAAUAAAAGGAGGGAAAAAGUCUAAGAGAUAAAAGAGAAAUAGUAGAUACAUCCCUAUUGACCACCUAUGUUAAUCAUGUUAUCAAGAUUUUGUGAGGGACAACUAAGAAAUGAAAUUUAAGUAUAACUAAAUCUCACAAAAUUGGCCUAGUAAAGUGAGGUUUGCACUCACUUUUAUAAUAUAAUUUGACCUUAUCUAAGACAUGACAUCUCUAAUAUAUUCUCUCAUGUCGAGGAGUGGACAUCUUGAAUGUAGGACUAAGGGGAACCCGAUAGUGGAUGAAACAAUAGGCCCAACAAACAUGACUAGGUAAGCUCUGAUACCAGCUUAUUAAGAAAGUGACUUUAACCCUAGUUCAACUUUAUAAAAUCAACUUAUAAGGUGAGGUUUGCACCCACUUAUAUAUUGUAAUUUAGCCUUACCUCUAGUCAAUGUUGGUUGCUCAACAUUAUUAAGAAAGUGAAAUUUAAGUCUAACUCAAUCCUACAAAAUAACUAAUAAGUGGAAAUAUUGUCACAUGUUGCUUCAAUGAUAAAGAUACCAACAUAACAUUAUAUGUUCUUGCAAUAACCUAUCUCAUAUCAUGUAUAGUCAUCCACUUGUCUACACUAACCUAAAAAGAUAAUUGAUUGUAAUCAUAUCAUUGUAAAAACAAAAAACAUAAAGUUAAACACUUACACAAUACUUACCAUUAAUAUAUCAUCAACGAGUAAUAAUAUUUUUAGUUGGCUUACCCAUUUGUAAUCUCCCAACAUCGCUUGCAACUCAAAUACACACACAAUUCCUGGUUACACCUAGUAUACAAACCACGUCUUAUCAUCCCUUCUUAACAUCUUUCUAUGAUAAAGAACACAUGUAUUAUUUAGUUGACACUUUUGACUACAAACACAUAAUAUGACUUUAUGUGAUGAAGGUAACUCCAAGAGAGGAUAUAAUCUCACAAGGUUAUUUUGCAACAUGAAGAAUACAAAUGUUAAGCACAACCCAAAAAAAAUAAUAACACUGGGCCAUUGUGCGUUUCUAAGAUUUACAAACUUUGAUGAUUUGAACUCUUGAUCUUGAGUCUUUAUAUAAUCUUUGACAUAUAUAAUGCUCUAUGUAAUCUUUAGAUACAGUCUUCUUCUUCUUGAUAACAUAAUCUCUUUUCUCUUGCACGAUAUUUGUUCCAUUUUUCCUUAAAAGACUGGUUCAAAGCUAAGAAAUGAAGGUUACACUUCCUUAUGAAUGUUGCAAGGCUAAACAUAAAAACAAUGCACGAAUAUAUUCUCAAAUAAAGCAGAAUAAAUAAUUUAAGAAAUAUUCUUGCGCAUUUUCUCACAACUAAUUGUUUCUUAAUGUGAAAAAUUGAAUGCUGAUGAAAUUCUUAGUUUCCUUAUAUAAAAACUUAGCACUUUUAUGUUCAGUGCAAAUAUGAUGAUCUUAAAUUCUUUAUAAAUAUUUAUGCAUAAAAUCAUUUAUGCUCUUAACAACCUCUUGCGACUUUUUAUUACAAUUAUACUUAUAAGAACUUAGAUCGUUAGCUUAGAACUUAUGUCCUUUUUUUAUAGUUUGAUGAAAUUUUAACUUACAUAGAACACACAUUAGAAGGUCCAUAACUUAAAAGUAUAGUAUGUAUAAGGCAUGGUCAUAUUUGUUGUCAUAAAAAAAAUCACAAAGAAAUGGUCUAGUAGUUUUAGAUAAGUGUAGAUUGUCCGAAUCUUAAUAGUAUCUGGAUAAGUAAUUUCACAUAGCUUAUUUGUGCACGCCUUAACAAAUGUUUCCUUAUAUGCAAUUACCCUUACAUCUUUGAUCAUCAAUUAAGAAAGUUUGUUCUUCAUCUUCUCUACCUUAAUCCAUAUUUUGUUUUGAACUUUACCUUGUUAAUGUUUACUUUAUGUUUGUCCAAGACAUAUUAUUGAUCAUUCAUAAAAUUUGAUUCCUCAAAUAAUAAGUUGAAACAUCUGAUUUAUAAGAGACAUAUAUUAAGAAUGAUUCUACUAGAUAGAAUUAAUGAAAGUCGUGUUGCCUACUAAGAUGGUUGAAUAUUAAGAAAGUCGUAUUUUAAGAUGGUUAAAUAUUAUGAUAAUUACAAAAUUUUAACUUUACAUUUAAACCUACAUUCUAAGCUUCUAAGUAUAUAGGAGUCACCUAACUUUUUCAAUAUAUUCAUGAAUUUCAUCAACAUAAAAUAAUAUUUUCCCCAACCCCAAAACCAUUUGGUUAAAAAUCAGAAUAUUGUAGAGGAAAAGAUUCAGUUUGAACCUUUCCCUUAAAAAAAAUUAAAAGUUUGAUGUAUUGGAAUUUUAUAAGUGUUUUUUAUGAAUAAACUUAUUUUGUAAGUACUAGUUUUUAUUUUUAAUUAUGCAAUAUGUGUAUUUUUAAUAUUAAUGUUUAUCAACUGGUACUUUUAAUAGUUUGUGUACUUUAUAUGAUUGUUAUCAUCUUACACUCAUUCACAACUAUUCUAUGUGGUCGAGACCAUCUCAGCCUCAUACAUAAUCUAGAACAACUCCAAAUCAAAUAUCAGAUUAACGCUUAUUAAAGUAAUAACCUUAAAUCAAAUCAAUCAUGAUAAACAAUCAUACAUCUCUAUUAACACAAGAUUAAGGAUCAUGUCCAUACUGAUCUAGGCUCAUCCAUAAAAAAUAUCAUUCUAACUCUAUAAAUAGGUUGAAGUUGGGACAUGUAAGAUUACAUUUAGUAACUUUUUUCUCUCAACUACCCUAAGACUGACUUUAAUAUCGAAGUAUCUUUUGCAAGUACGUACUCUCAUACCCGAAACAUUCAUCAUACCUUGGACAACAAAACUCCAUGAACUACUUAGUUGUGCACGAGAAGAAGAUCUACUUAGUCUUUGUAAGAAUAGUUUUUUGUUCUUUACGUUUAGAAUUUACAUUGCAUUUGUUACCUCUCACAUUGAGUUUAUAACUAAUUAAUUUGUUCAAUGAUUAUUUAAAAAUCGACUUCAAUGAUAUCAUUUAAGUUUUUCUAUUUGGAAUUGUGUUAGGUUUAAUUGCAAUAGUUUUGGUUGGACUACUUGUAAUUGUAUAUUUACAAUAGCGAUAAGAUGAUGAGUUAGAUAUAAUUAAUUAAUGUCUUUUCUUUGUUUUCUAUCCCUUGUUCUUUUUAUAAAAGGAAUGAAACAAAUUUUUCAAAAUAAUUGAAUUAGAGAUGUAAAAUCAAAAUAAAAAUGAAUCAAUGUCUACUAUAUUUAAUAAUGGGGUUCGAUUCUUGCUACCUGCUUAUAUUCUCUAUUUAUUCUAUUUAAUUAAAUUUCUCUUUUUACUUCUAAAAUAAUGUAGAAUUCUUAAUGAAUUUGGCAAUUGUUUAUUUUCGUUUUCUAAUUUAAUUUUAGUUAUAUAUUGAUUAAUUUGGAUAUUUUGUUUAAUUAUAUAUAUAUAUGUAAUAUUUCUAUCUUUUAUUACAAACAAAUGGAUACCAAUUCUCACUCACCCAUUUUUUAUCUUCUAUAUACGUGUGCGUGGAGCCACACAUAACCGGUUAGCCGGUUUAACCGGUACAGAACCGGUCUAAAGGGGUGGACCAGAUUGUAUCCGUUUUCUGUUUCAAAUGAUCAGACCGGAAAGUCCGCUCCGGUUUAAUCGUUAAAACUCGGUUCUAAACCAGAACCCAAACUUAAUUCAGGGUGAGGAAUAUUUGUUUCAGAGAGAUAAAAAAUAUAUAUUAUUAUAAGUUUAUGAAUUAUUAAGAUUAUGACUUUUUAAAUAAUUCUAUAUAUAUAUAUACAUGAUAUAUAUAGUCUUUAAAAAUAUAAAUUGGUAUGAAUUUAAUAUAUAAAAUUAUUUUGGUACGUUUAACAAUAUCACGUAACUUAAUAAUUUAGGUCAAGAGUAAUUUAAGUAUAUUUUUUAUUAUUAUUAUGUGUCUUUUAAAUUUAAUUAAUAUUUUUGAUGCGGUGAUUGAUUUAAUAAUAUUAUUUUAAAAAAAUUUAAGAUAGAAGCAUGGACACCUUGAAAAGUAGAAUUUUUUUCUAAAGACAAAUUAUAUCGAAAGAAAGAAAGUCAUUACUUAAAAUUCAAAGUCAAAAACAAUUUAAAUACAUCAUUCUUCUUUACUCAUCCUAUGCGUUCAUAUCUUAAUAGACUUAAGAUCAAUAUAAAAAAAAUCAUGAAAUAGAAACCAAUUUUAAAGAUAAAAAAUAAUUAGUUGCUAUACUGACUAAAUUAAAGAUUAUUUUAGAGACUAAAAAAAUUUUGGUUUCUAAAAUAGUUUCUAUUAUUGUUAAAUGGUUUCUAAAUUGAUAUCUAAUUAGCAACUAAGGUUUUUGCUACCAAUUAUUUAGAUUCUAAAUUUGGUAGCCAAAACCUUUGUUGUUAAUUAGACACCAUCUUAGAAACAAUUUAACAAUUAUUUUUGUCUCUGAAAAUUGAUUUCUAUUUCAUGAUUUUCUUGUAGUGGAUUACAACAUAAUUUCUGAAUUUUUUAUUUAUAUUAAAAUUAAAUAUUAUUUUUAGUGUUUCCAAAAAUUAAAUUGCGACUGAUAUACCAUUUCCAAAAAAUACGAGCAUUAAUAAAUAAAUAAAAUACCAAUCUCGUGCAAACAUAUCAGAAAACCCAGUAAGGUAAGAAAAGAGAGGAAAAAUUUAACAGAGAAGAACAGUUUUCAGAAUUCUGGGAAAUUAGAAAAGGAUGAUUGGUAUUAUUAUUGUACAAAUUGGGAUGAGAAAUUAAAGGAAGAAGAAGGAAGCAUUAAUUUGAAACAAUAAAAUAAAAUUAUUUGAGCAUUAAUUAUUAUUACCUUAAUCCAUCAAUAAUUGUUGUACACAUAUGAAUCUGAACUAAUUUCUUGACCUAAUCACCAAAACACCAUGAUGCUGCACAAAAUCACCAAAAGUGGGAAGAACACAGCCAAAUUUUUUGGACUAGCUCCAUUGAAAUCCUCAUCCACUGGAUACAAGUUCCCUGGUGGACCAGUCAUGUACAAGUAUGCUGAUGAUGGUGGUGGAGGGCAAUAUGUUGAGGGAGGUUUCUUGGGUGAAGGUGGUGGUGGAGAUGGAUACAAGAUCGGUGGCGGCGACGAUGGCGGCGGCGGCGAUAAAUACUCUAUUAUUGGUGGUGGUGGUGAUAAAUACUCUAUUAUUGGUGGUGGUGGUGAUAAAUACUCUACUAUUGGUGGUGGUGGAGUGUAACCACCCUCACAUGGUGAGCACUUCUCAUUAUUACCAUUAUCAUCAAGCUUCCUUGAUUCCUCACCCUUGAUGGGAGUGGUGAGAAAAGCAAGCACAAGGAUGAAAGUGAAGAUCUUUGAUGGUUUAGUUUGAUGGGUUUUUGUGGCCAUAGUGUGGGUUGGUUUUGAUUGGAAUUGGGGUGGUGGCUUUGAAUUAUGGGGUUUUUUGUGUGGGAUUGUUGUAGGGCAUUGGAUUUUGAAGAGAGGAAUGUGCAUGGGAAGUGUAAAACUAUGGGUGAAGGAGGUUUUUAGGUUAUGGGAAUGAUAAUUAAUUUGGUUUUCCAAGGAUGGAAAAGUUGGGUGGCACUUGCUAUUAUGGUCCUUUGGAGUAGGAGGGACUCUUAUCAUGUGGAAUCUAAUCUCCCACUAGCAUGUGGAAAUUAAUGUAUGCAAUGGGUUCCACCAUGGAUACAAGUCCACAAAACCUCUAUAAUUAAUUAACAAUAAUCAAAUCCACUUUGGGUGGUUGAGUUUUGCCACAUGAGUUGGGUUUAAUCUUUAUAUUUUCAUCCAUUAAUUCAUAUCUCCCCUUUACAUAAUUUUAUUUGUAAAGACACCUCAAUGGCAUUUAUAAUUUAAAAACAAAGUAUGUGUGAUAUAAUCACUACCAGAAAAUCAUUAAAUAAAAAUUAAUUUUAAAAACCAAAAAUAAUUAGUUAUUAUUUGAGUAAAUUAGAAACCAUUUUAUAAACUAAAAGAGUUAUUGAUAUCUAAAUUAGUUUCUAUUAUUAAUAAAAAAAUUAUAAAAUAAUUUCUAAAUUAGUACUUAACAUUUAGUUACCAAUGUUUUAGCUACUUACUAUUUUAUAUUAUACAUUAGUCUCUAUUAGUCUUUUAAAGAUCAAUUUAGAAUAUAAAAUAUUAGGAACUAAAAGUUAAGUAGCUAAUUUAGAUACAAAUUUAUAGACUAUUUUAUAAAUUUUUAUCAAUAAUAUAAACCACUUUAGAUACUAAUAAUUUUUUAGUCUUUAAAUUAAUCUUUCAUUUAGUUAAUAUAGUGACUAAUUAUUUUUUGUCUCUAAAUUUAGUUACUAUUUAUUGAUUUUCUCGUAGUGAAUAGAAAAUUAUAAAAAAAAAUUAACUGGGUAAAAAAAAAAGUUGUGCAAAAUCAAAACUUUGCUUAUUAAAUAUUAUAACUUUUUUUGCUAUCUAGAUGCAAACUUUUGAAUCAAAGUAGACAUAGGAAGAGGUAUCUCUAAAGUGUGAGGCUUGAGAAGAUGAUAAAGUAACUCUUUUUUUUUCUUUUUUCUGUUUAUUCUAUUUUGUGAAGCUUCUUUAGCUUCACAUGGCAAAUCUUCUUUGAUAGGUAUUCGAUAUGCAUGUGGCCACAUGAUUUUGGGAUCAAAUGAUAUUAGACUAUCAUUGACCAUUCUAUAUAUUAUAUAUAAAAUUCAAGAACUUUCCAUUUCAUUCCAAAAUUCGUUGCAUAUUCAAUGGCACAAGUGAUGAUUAUUCAAGUUUAUUUUCAAAAUUCAAUAAAUGUUGAAAUAAAAAGAGAAAAUUCAUAAAAUGGUAUAACUUCAAAUUAUAUAUGGUUAAUAAAUGAACUUAAAGAGAAUUGUGGUAAGAUAAUGAUAAGUUUUGUUUAUGGAAAUUGAACUCUCUUCAUGUUUCAAAGGUGUUUCAACUUUUGAAUUGUAUUUAAAAUAACAUUAUUAGGAAUAAUUAGUAAAUUAUUUCAUUGACCUUAACAAUAUUAUUUAUGUAUUUGAUGUUGAAAUUUAAUUUGUCUAUAGAAAUGGAAAAUAUGUUUAAAAACAAAUUUUUCUUAUAUUGUAGUUCUUGACUUGACUUGUGUUUGAGUGGGACUAAAAGUUUCACUUUCUAAGAAAUUGAGACAAAAAAAUUAUUUAUAUAUAUCUUUCUUUCUUAAUUAUAAAUAUAUCUUUUAAAAAUAAAUUUGUCUUCAAAUUAAUAUAGUCUACAUAUGUAUCGUUUUUGUUAACAUAUGAGUUUUGGUCUAGCUCUCCCAUAUUUUUGUAUUUUUUUUUAAUAAUACUUUUUUCAUGUGAUGACAAAUGAUUGUUGUUACUUUAGGUGUCAGUCUAGCCUAGCUGAGAUGUCAAGUAGCAUAGUGAUGCCUAACAUGAAAGUUUUUUAUAAAAAAAAAAUUAAAUGAUUCUUCACACAUAAUAAUUCACUCCAUCUAAAUGACUUCUAAUAAAAAAGUUUAUAAAUUUCAUAAAUUAUAAACUAUUAAUAAUGGGAGGUUUUAUGUAAAAGACUUAUUCAAUCGCUAAAAAUAAAUAAAAACAAGUUAGAAAAAAAGAAGAAGUUAGUUUCACUAAAAUUGUUCGACCAAACUUUUAAAGCAAGAUUGAAUUAAAUACUUGGUAUGAAUAAAAUUAAAAUAAUUUUGAAUUUAAUAAAAAAAUAUAAAAUUUGAUGUUGUAAUUUUGAGCUAGGAUAAGUUUUUAGCAAAGACAUGAUAUGUGGUCCACAUGCAUGCAUUUGGUUCAUGUCGACAUAAUUGACCUUAUUAUUGUUUUUAUAUUUGAAGAAAGAGAGAUUGUAGGACUCAUCCUUUGCUAUGUCUAUUUUUGCUACCCCAAUCAAUAAGGGCAUUAUGUCCUUAUUAUAUACUCUUAAAGCUUUAUGACUCAUCAAAUUCCACUUGCGUAUUACGUUUUCCAAUUCUCAUUAUCUUUACCACUUCAUGGGAUCUACUUAUAAUUAUAACCCUUCUUUAUCCUUCUAUAUUAUAAAUGAAAUUUUAUAGAAUAUUCAUAUUAUUUCUUAAUGUUUUUCUGUCAUUUAGUUUAUGACACUACAAUAGAAUUUUAGAAUGAUAUGAUUAUUCAUCUACCCUUAAGAUUUUUUUUAAAACUACCAUAAAAAAAAUUAUGCACUAUCUUUACAUACUAUCUUAUUAUCAUUCUAUUGUUAUUUUUUUAAAAAUUUAGCACACAAAGAUAAGAUACUAUGUGUUCUUACAAAGUACUAUUGUAGGGAUGGAGUGUUCCUCACUUGUUAUGUGUUUUAGUUUUCAGUCUUAUCGUUCUUUCAGUCUUCUCUGUAAGAGUAUUUGCGAUGAAACUUUGACGCUUAAGUCAAUUUUAAGGAUAAGAGUGUCAAAGAUUUUAUAGGAUUAGAGUUUCAUUACCUUUUUUUGGAGGCUAACCUCUUAUUUAUAAAUAUGAUUUUAGUUUUAGGACGUUAUGUACUAAUACAACCCAACUGAGUUUAAUUUACCUAUUAAUCAUAAUUUGAAUGAUUGUGUGAUACCUACUUAAUGACAUUGCUGAUUAAUCUUAAAUGUAAACGGGAUGGCUAAGAAGUUAGUUGGUGGAGUGUUUACGUGUAUGUGAGUGUUCAACCUCCAGUAGUAUACUAUGUAAUUAUAGUUUGAGAGUUAUAUUUGUAAAAGCAAAAUACAUUUUUAUAGAAAACUAUUGAAUGUUUAUAGUUCUAUGUAACUUACAAUUGUAUCAUUUGGAGUUUCUCUAAAUAUAUUAUUUUUUCAGAUUUAAAAUUGAUUUUCUUAAAAUAUUUAGAUAGGGUAAAUUAAGACAAGAAGACUAAAAAUAUUAAUUAAGAUUAUUAUGAAAGUUUGAGAAGAUGAGAGGAAUAUGCUUGGCAGAGAAGCAAACAGAAGGGAACAAAGUUGAUACAAUAAAAGAGUAAUUUGAAAGGGAAACACCACCGUCCCAUUUUUUUUAGCAUCUUCAUGGACUCCACUUUUUGUCUCAUCUUCUGCUACAAACUUUAAGAAAUACCAAUGGAAGCUUCAUUUGAUUUUGCUCCUUCUUCUAUCCUAAAAGUUAACACUAAAACUCAUAAAAUAAUAUCACCUACAUAUUAAUAUAGUAAAGAACUUUAUCGUGUAGUAAUACUUCUUUCCUUAUAUGAUCAAUAUUUUUCUCUAUAAAUAUGUUAGUGCCUUACCAUAUUAAAGGCCACAACUUUUUUGAUAAAAUAAGUAGGUUUAAUUUUUUUUUUAAUAAAACUUUUUUGAUAAAUAUGUUAGUGCCUUAACAUAUAACAUUUAAUCAAAAUAUAUGAUGUUGGUCUUUUGUUUUAUCAGAUAAUUAUAUAAACCUCUAAUAAAGUAGAUGAGAAAGAAUCUUUUAAGAGGAACGACAUAACCUUGAACUUAUCGAGACCUUGAAUAAUUUGGAUGAUUUGUCCAGAUGGUCUGUUAAGUCCCUAGGAGGUCUAUUGAGACACUAGAUAGUUUGUUUAUCAAAAAAUCAUGUGUGGAGUUUAUGUUUUUAUGUUUUGAUGAUAACAAAAGCUGAUUGAAUGGUUUACUUGUAUCUUGAUUGUUCUAACAAUGUUUUAUACUGCUACAAUUUUUAAUAUACUCUCUAAACAUCUAUAACAUACAUGUGUUUAUAAUAGACGUUCUAAUAAAAAUGAUUGAUUGGAUAACAAAAUUUAGAUUAAAUAUCUUAUUGAAUAAUAUGUUUUAUCUUUGAUUUAAAUUAUCUAACAAUGUUUAGUGAAAAUUACAAUAUAUAAUACCAUAUGUGAUUAUCAAUUUCAUAUGUGAUUGGAUUGUAGGAUGGUCUUUGAGUAACGAAUCCAAAAUAGGAGCAUGUCAAUCUCAACACCUACAACAAUCAUCUUCGAAUAUACAUAAGCAUUAUCUUGGAAAGCCUUACCUACAAACGGAUUGUGUUAUCAUGAUCAAUUUGUAUGAUGGAUUGAAGAUUUUAGGGAUCAAUCUGGGUGCUAAUUAAAGUUAGUUAAUGACACUUAAUAAUUUUUGACAACUUUCUUUAUAGAAGAUGCUAAGAAUUUUUAGCAAUUUCUAAAGAAAAUAUUUGCUUUAGAAAAAUAAUUUAAAAUAUUUUUUGAAAUAUUCUAAAAAGUCACUCAAAAGAAAUAUUUAAUUUCAACCCAUUUUUUUAAAAAAAUCUUUUACAAAUACUAUUUCUAUUCUGCAUAACAAAAAUGGGAAGAAGAAUGAACCCAACAACUCCGUAACAGAGAAUAAUCACGAAUAACCAAAUUAGAUGUUAAUUAGAUGAUGAAAAUAUCUAAAUUCAAUUAUUAAACAAAAGCAUGAAUAGAACAAAUACAUACACAGCACAUAAACUUCAGUUCAUAUAAACCCUAAAUGCAGGAAAGGGUAAUCCACUAAAACCAGGAUGAUACAACGCAUACAGAGAUCCAUUAAACUUGAGAGAAGAUAGCUGAAAGAGAGCAAAACUGGAUGCUCUGGAGUCUAGGGAAAAAUUAUUUAAUAGUCAUCUGCAUCAUUGUCAUCUUCAUAAUCUCCAUAAUCUUCGUCUUCAUCAUCUUCGUCUUCAUCUUCUGAUUCCAAGUAAUACCUAACAUGUUCAUCUGAUUCUAGUCCCAAGUAAUUCCUCAUCUCCAUGGCCUCAUCUGAUCCUGAUAGAAAGUAAUUUUUAAGGACUUCCCGGUAAUCAGCAGGGUCGUGCCACCAUGUUGGGGUAUUCAGAAUGGUCUCCUCCAACCAAAACUCGCAGUCAUCUUCCUCUUCUUUCGGUGCCGUCAGGGUAUUGUAGACCAGACCACAUUGAUACAUGGCAUUCUUCAGUCGAACACUCUGACUUCCACCGAAUAUAUACCUGAUAUAGUCUCUAGCUAGCUUUGUGAGUUCCUCCCCAGUGAUAAUAUAAAUGUACUGCAAAAAGUAUGUGUAAGAAAUGAGGAAUGGCGUAUGUCCUAUUAACUUCUAAUCAUUUUUCAUGUCCAAUGUGACUCUAUACCAUCAAAAGUUUGCAUAUGGACAUCUUUUACAAACUUAAAAGCCUCCUACACUCUCAUGUACUUCUGCAAUUAGCUACUUCUAUCAUUAUUUUACAUCAUACACUAGUACAACUCGGAAGACUUCUUUCAUUAAUAAUACACACAAUUAUUAUGUUACUUCCACCUAAACGUCACCUUCCCGUUUUCAUAAUCUUAAUUUUCACACACAAUAAAAACAAAUACUUCAGAAUUGAGCUAAAUGAAAAAAAAACUUAUUUGUGCACACAUGACACAUCAAAAGAGAGAGUACCAGAAAUAUAAAGCCAAGGGUAGCUAGAAACACUUGGAGAUUUUCUUUCCACAUCUCAGCAAGGCUUUCAUCCUCUGAAUCACCAGAGCCAUCAGGACUACCACCACCCCUACCACUGUUGCCGCCUCCUCCUCCUGGUGGUUUCACUUCCCCGCCACCACCACCACUGUAUUCACCCUUUUCAAUUUGCCGCCGUAACACAUCCUCUAUUGAAUUUUGCCCCUUAAAUUUUCCUAUAGCUUUCUCAAUAGAUUUCCAUGGGGAAUUCUGAUUACAUUUAUAAUGUCAGUAAAAUGUAGGAAUAUCCCAACACACACACAUAUAUAUAACUAAAAGAGUAGUUCUCUUUCCUUUCACACAGAUUCAUGAUAGACAAAAUUAAUGACAAUUCUUGUGCUUCAGAGGCAUUGAAAAGAAAAGAGUUGCUUCUAGUCUAUUUUUAUUCUAAAUGUUUGGUCUACUGCUAAAAUAUUACUGCGAAAACACAGCCUUCUGCAGCUUAGCUUCAUCAUUUCCUAACACAAUUCUUUAACUAAAAUAGAAAAUAUGUAUAUAUAACUAAAAGAGUAGUUCUCUCCCAUUUCCCACAGAUUCACCAUGAUAGACAAAAUUAAUGACAAUUUUGUACUUCAGAGGCAUUGAAAAGAAAAGGGUUACUUCUCGUCUAUUCUAUUUAACUGUUUGGUCUACUGCUAAAAAUAUUUCUUAAAAAACACAGCUUCCUGCAGCUUAGCUUCGUCAUUUCCUAACAUAAUUCUUUAACUAAAAUAGCAACUUGCAGUAACUUGAUCGGAGAUUUUUCUUCGUCAAAAAGAUCACAUACCCCAAAUCAUUGAUUACACUCCAUUUCAUUAGGGUACUAUAUGCAUGUUUACAUUAAACCUUAACAUGUUAUGACAUUCUAACAACAACAAACUAAAGCAAAAGUCAAAAUAAUAUGCAAUACCUCAUCAUCAUUUCCCAUCAUCCCUUUUUCACCAGCUAAGCAAAUAUGGAGAGGUUUCCGAGAUUGUGAAAUAGGCCAACAUUUCAAGCCAAACGAUUGUCUUGCUCUUACGGUGAGUAGAGCACAAGAGCAAGGACCAAAACUGUUUGGUAAACCAUAUGGUUUUGAAUGAAGCUUGUGCAACCGAGAUAUAUUUUUCCCAGAAAUCCCAGGCUGGCAUGCAGUAACUUGUGCAAUGUUCAUUUUUGUCAAACAGCUCAGCUACCCCCGAGUUUCAAACAUUACACUCUAGCAUUUCACAUAAUCAAGCUUCAAUUCAAAUUGGUUAAGUCGAAACUUUUUAAACAGUAGCUACCACACUACUAAAAAUGCAACAAGAGACAUAAUGACACGUCUCCAGCAUAAUUUUCUUCAAAAAUUUGCAAAACAAAACACUGCCACCUUCAACAACAACUUAACCAAAACCUCACAGAAAAAAGAGAGAGAAAAUAGUCAUUACAUAACAGCCCCUUCCCCCCAAAUAAGACCCAGAAAACAAUUAACAUCAAAUAGGUUUGAAAUGAGUUUAGAAUGCAUAUAAAAUCAAGCCAAAAUUGAAAAAUAAAUCCCUUCCACCAACACGUUUGCUUUUCAUGACGUGAAUAUUGAAACAAAAUCCCCAAGUGUAAGCUCAUAGACACUAGCAUUUCACAUAAUCAGACUUCAAUUCAAAUUGCUUCUGUCAGUUUUUAGAAAACUAGCUACCACGCCACUAAACAUGCAACAAGAGACACAAUGACAUAUCUCCAGCAUCAUUUUCUUCAAUAAUUUAUAAAAAAUGAGUUCAAAUCGAAAAAAAUAAGUCCCUUCCACUAACAUUUUCUUUUCAUGAUGUGAUUAUUAAAACGAAACAAAAUCCCGAAGUGAAACAUGUGGAGCUAGUUCUCUGAGAAAU